rnacentral:lncRNA from 10 species
GAAAAUGUUCUUAGUUUUUUACCAAUGAGUAUGAUAUUAGCUGUGGGAUUUUUGUAUAUGGCCUUCUUUGUUCAGACUAUAGAAGUGAUGUUAGACAAAAGGAAAUUCAAGUGAUUUUUUUAUUCAAGUUCAAAAUGUGUCAUAAAGCAGCAGAGACAACCCACAAUAUCAACAGCACUGGGCCCAGGAACUGCUAAUGAACUGUACAGUGCAGUGGUGGUUCAAUAAGUUUUGCAAAGGAGACAAGAGCCUUAAAGAUGAGGAGCAUAGUGGCCAGCCAUCGGAAGUUGACAAGUACCAAUUGAGAGCAAUUACCAAAGCUGAUCCUCUUACAACUACACAAGAAGUUGCCAAAGAAAUCGAUGUUGACCAUUCUAUGAUCAUCUGGCAUUAGAAGCAAAUUGGAAAGGUGAAAAAGCUUGAUAAGUGGGUGCCUCAUGAGCUGAGGGAAAAUUUUUAAAAAUUUGUCAUUUUGAAAUGUUGUCCUCUCUUAUUCUAUGCAACAACAAUGAAUCAUUUCUUGAUCAGACUGUGAUGUGUGACAAAAAGUGUGCUUCCUAUGACAACUGAUGACAACCAGUUCAGUGGCUGAACUGAGAAGAAGCUCCAUAUCAUUUCCCAAAGCCAAACUUGCACCAAAAAAGGUCAUGGUCACUGUUUGGUGGUCUGCUGCCACUCUGUUCAGUUUUCUUUCUCUUUCUUUCUUUCCUUCCUUCCUUCCUUCUUUCUUUCUUCCCAUUUCUUUCUUUUUUUUUUCUUUGAGACGGAGUUUUGCUCUUGUUGCCUAGGUUGGAGUGCAAUGGCAUGAUCUCAGCUCAUUGCAACCUCCGCCUCCUGGGUUCAAGCGGUUCUCCAGCCUCAGCCUCCUGAGUAGCUGGAAUUACAGAUGUGUGCCACCAUGCCUGGCUAAUUUUGUAUUUUUAGUGGAG